GGCUCGCUGCUGUGACCGUAACUUUAAGCACACGUGAGCGUCCUCAGCUGGCAGCCAUGGCUGGCGGGUCCUUCCUAGCAUGUGCUGCGGCCCUCACCUUAUCUUCCGUCAUCAGGGCACAGGCGCCGUGCAGGGCUAUUCCGAGUCCAGGUAGAGAUGGCUGAGCUCGGUGGCAGGAGAUCAGCCUGCGGUGGAGCAGGGACGUUUGCCCUGGGGAGACACGUGCCACCGGGUGGACAUCGAGGCCCUGUGGGUGGCCCUACAGCGUGGAAGGGAUGACCGAGCUUUGGGACAUGUCCUGGAAACCUAAGGUGCUGGAGCUAGAAGAGACUUGAUAGCACUUCAGAGACCAUCAGGCUGUUUCGUGGAACUUCCACCAAAGAGAUGCAGAAAUGGAGACUCCAGAGCUGGAGAGAGAGAGAUGACUCAACUGUUAAAAGCACUGACUGCUCUUCCAGAGGUCCUGAGUUCAAUUCCCAGCAACCACAUGGUGGCUCACAAUUAUCUGUAAUGGGGAUCCGAUGCCCUCCUCUGGUGUGUCUGAAGACAGUGAUGGUGUACUGACAUAUAUGAAGUAAAUAAGUAAAUUAAUAAAUAGAAAUGAGACUCCA
rnacentral:lncRNA from 7 species